UACGAAGGGGGCUAGCGUUGUUCGGAAUUACUGGGCGUAAAGGGCGCGUAGGCGGUGUGUCAAGUCAGGCGUGAAAGCCCCGGGCUCAACCUGGGAACCGCGCUUGAGACUGGCACGCUAGAGUUCGGGAGAGGAUGGUGGAAUUCCCAGUGUAGAGGUGAAAUUCGUAGAUAUUGGGAAGAACACCGAUGGCGAAGGCAGCCAUCUGGACCGACACUGACGCUGAGGCGCGAAAGCGUGGGGAGCAAACA
rnacentral:rRNA from 1 species